rnacentral:misc_RNA from 1 species
CUCCCAUGCCCAGUUCCCCCCAAGACUUUAAUACAACAAUUCUCGUCUCUCUGGCUCUUUCUCUCUUUCUCUGCCUCCUUUGGCGCUGGUUGGGGACUCAAAAACAAGUCCUUACCUUUGGCUCUACCAGAAGGCUCGCAGCAGGCCAUGGCUGCAAAGAAAAUAAUAGCUAUAUGCCAGUCGGGCGGUGAGUUUGUGACAAACAAGGAUGGAACAUUGUCAUACAAUGGUGGGGACGCUUAUGCAAUUGACAUUGAUCAGCAAACACAGUUGAGUGAUUUCAAGUCUGAAGUAGCUGAAAUGUUCAAUUGUGCUGUUGAUACCAUGUCCAUUAAGUACUUCCUUCCAGGAAACAAAAAGACCCUUAUCACUAUCUCUAAAGAUAAGGAUUUACAGCGCAUGGUUAAUUUUCUUGGGGAUACGAUGACUGUUGAUGUAUUUAUCAUGUCAGAGGAAGCUGCUGCUAGGAAUGUGUCCAACAUGCCUGCUAGUAGGUCAAGCAGGACGACUGUGUCAGAAGCUGUGGUUCCUCUGGUCGAUGUUACUCCUGUUGAUGUUCACAUUGAUAUUGAUCGAGUUGACCUGGAUGUCCCUGAUGAAAAUCCUAUAUCCUGCAUUCCUAUUGGAAUAGCUGAUGAGAAGCAUCGUAAAGCUGCUCUACAGUGGGAAAACACCAUUACUGGUGUUGAUCAAAGGUUUAGUAGUUUUGCUGAAUUCAGAGAAGCUUUGCAUAAGUAUUCAAUUGCACAUGGAUUUGCUUACAGAUAUAAGAAGAAUGACAGUCAUCGUGUUACUGUCAAAUGCAAAUCCCAAGGUUGUCCUUGGCGGAUAUAUGCAUCCAGGUUGUCAACCACUCAAUUAAUUUGUAUCAAGAAAAUGAAUGUAGAACAUACAUGUGAAGGAGCUGCUGUGAAAGCUGGGUAUCGAGCAACAAGGGGUUGGGUGGGAAGUAUCAUAAAGGAGAAACUGAAAGUUGCCCCGAACUACAGGCCAAAAGACAUUGCGGAUGAUAUCAAACGGGAGUAUGGGAUUCAACUGAAUUAUUCUCAGGCAUGGCGUGCAAAAGAGAUUGCAAGAGAGCAGCUUCAAGGCUCAUAUAAAGAGGCAUAUAAUCAGUUGCCAUUUUUUUGUGAAAGAAUAAAGGAAACCAAUCCAGGCAGUAUUGCUACAUUCUCCACAAAAGAUGACUCGAGUUUCCAUCGUUUCUUUGUCUCAUUUCAUGCAUCAAUAACUGGCUUUGAACAAGGUUGUCGUCCUCUCAUUUUCCUUGACAGUGCUUCUUUAAACUCAAAAUAUCAAGGAAUGUUGUUGGCUGCUAUUUCAGUCGAUGGGGAUGAUGGUAUUUUUCCUGUAGCUUUUGCUGUAGUGGAUAUUGAUUCAGAGGACAACUGGCAUUGGUUUUUAUUGGAACUGAAGUCUGCUGUCUCUACAUCUCGUCAGAUUACAUUUGUUGCUGAUUUUCAGAAUGGUUUAAAGAAAUCACUGGCUGCAGUUUUUGAUAAAUGCUACCACAGCUAUUGUUUGCGUCAUCUCGCUGAGAAACUAAAUAGAGACUUAAAGGGGCAGUUUUCUCAUGAAGCAAGACGCUUCAUGAUAAAUGAUUUUUAUGCUGCAGCAUAUGCACCCAGACUUGAGGGAUUCCAGCGAUCUGUAGAGAACAUAAAAGGCAUCUCCCCCGAAGCUUAUAACUGGGUGAUACAGAGUGAGCCAGAACACUGGGCAAAUGCCUUCUUUGGAGGAGCAAGGUAUAACCACAUGACAUCAAACUUUGGGCAACAGUUCUACAGUUGGGUAUCAGAGGCACACGAAUUGCCAAUAACUCAAAUGAUUGAUGCAUUAAGAGGCAAAAUUAUGGAAUCAAUUUAUACUCGUCGGGUGGAAUCCAAUCAGUGGAUGACAAAGUUAACACCAUCAAAAGAGGAAAAAUUGCAAAAGGAGACUUCAAUAGCAAGGUCACUUCAAGUUUUACUUUCUCAUGGUAGCACAUUUGAGGUUCGUGGAGAAUCUGUUGAUAUUGUUGAUACUGAUCAUUGGGAUUGUAGCUGCAAAGGAUGGCAACUAAAUGGGUUGCCCUGCUGCCAUGCAAUUGCUGUCUUUGAAUGCAUUGGUAGGAAUCCAUAUGAUUAUUGCUCCAGAUACUUCACCAUCGAGAGUUACCGGUCAACCUAUGCCGAGUCGAUUCACCCUGUACCAAAUGUUGACAGGCCAAUUCAGGGUGAAUCAAGUGACGCGGGAGUUAUUGUUACUCCUCCACCAACUAAGCGCCCACCUGGCAGGCCGAAGAUGAAGCAGGCCGAAUCUAUCGACAUAAUUAAGCGUCAACUUCAGUGUAGUAAGUGCAAGGGCCUUGGCCAUAAUAAGAAGACAUGCAAAGGUUCAUAGCUUAGAUGAUUAGGCUUUGUAGGUAGGUAUCUAGUCGUCACUGAUAUCCUGCUUUGUAACUUUAAACAAUUUUGAUUGGCGGUGUAGGCUUGUGUUUCUGUGCAUGGAUGAUUUUUAGCAAGCAUCACACUCUGCAUACCUUGUUUAUGUAUUUUAGGUGCUAGGCUAAGCAUCCAAUUAGUUGUUAGUGAAACUAAUUGUUCAGCUAUGACAUUGCAAUUUUUAUUCGUGCG